ACCUGGCUGGCUCAGUCAGUGGAGCGUGUGACCUUUGAUCUCGGGGUCGUGGGUUCAAGCCUCGUGUUGGGUG
rfam:Ailuropoda melanoleuca scaffold656_57, whole genome shotgun sequence.